rnacentral:tRNA from 1 species
GCCUGGGUGGCGGAAGUGGUAGACGCAAGGGACUUAAAAUCCCUCGGCGCUGAGCGCUGUACGGGUUCGAUUCCCGUCCCAGGCA